GGCGACCGGCGCACGGGUGAGUAACGCGUAUGCAACUUACCUAUCAGAGGGGGAUAACCCGGCGAAAGUCGGACUAAUACCGCAUGAAGCAGGGGCCCCGCAUGGGGAUAUUUGCUAAAGAUUCAUCGCUGAUAGAUAGGCAUGCGUUCCAUUAGGCAGUUGGCGGGGUAACGGCCCACCAAACCGACGAUGGAUAGGGGUUCUGAGAGGAAGGUCCCCCACAUUGGUACUGAGACACGGACCAAACUCCUACGGGAGGCAGCAGUGAGGAAUAUUGGUCAAUGGGCGUAAGCCUGAACCAGCCAAGUCGCGUGAGGGAUGAAGGUUCUAUGGAUCGUAAACCUCUUUUAUAAGGGAAUAAAGUGCGGGACGUGUCCCGUUUUGUAUGUACCUUAUGAAUAAGGAUCGGCUAACUCCGUGCCAGCAGCCGCGGUAAUACGGAGGAUCCGAGCGUUAUCCGGAUUUAUUGGGUUUAAAGGGUGCGUAGGCGGCCUUUUAAGUCAGCGGUGAAAGUCUGUGGCUCAACCAUAGAAUUGCCGUUGAAACUGGGAGGCUUGAGUAUGUUUGAGGCAGGCGGAAUGCGUGGUGUAGCGGUGAAAUGCUUAGAUAUCACGCAGAACCCCGAUUGCGAAGGCAGCCUGCCAAGCCAUGACUGACGCUGAUGCACGAAAGCGUGGGGAUCAAACAGGAUUAGAUACCCUGGUAGUCCACGCAGUAAACGAUGAUCACUAGCUGUUUGCGAUACACUGUAAGCGGCACAGCGAAAGCGUUAAGUGAUCCACCUGGGGAGUACGCCGGCAACGGUGAAACUCAAAGGAAUUGACGGGGGCCCGCACAAGCGGAGGAACAUGUGGUUUAAUUCGAUGAUACGCGAGGAACCUUACCCGGGUUUGAACGCAUUUCGACCGCUCUGGAAACAGAGCCUCUAGCAAUAGCGAUUUGCGAGGUGCUGCAUGGUUGUCGUCAGCUCGUGCCGUGAGGUGUCGGCUUAAGUGCCAUAACGAGCGCAACCCUUGCCACUAGUUACUAACAGGUAAAGCUGAGGACUCUGGUGGGACUGCCAGCGUAAGCUGCGAGGAAGGCGGGGAUGACGUCAAAUCAGCACGGCCCUUACAUCCGGGGCGACACACGUGUUACAAUGGCGUGGACAAAGGGAAGCCACCUGGCGACAGGGAGCGAAUCCCCAAACCACGUCUCAGUUCGGAUCGGAGUCUGCAACCCGACUCCGUGAAGCUGGAUUCGCUAGUAAUCGCGCAUCAGCCAUGGCGCGGUGAAUACGUUCCCGGGCCUUGUACACACCGCCCGUCAAGCCAUGGGAGCCGGGGGUACCUGAAGUCCGUAACCGCGAGGAUCGGCCUAGGGUAAAACUGGUGACUGGGGCUAAGUCGUAACAAGGUAGCCGUACCGGAAGGUGCGGCUGGAACACC
rnacentral:rRNA from 1 species